rnacentral:rRNA from 1 species
GAUGAACGCUGGCGGCGUGCCUAAUACAUGCAAGUCGAACGAAACUUCUUUAUCACCGAGUGCUUGCACUCACCGAUAAAGAGUUGAGUGGCGAACGGGUGAGUAACACGUUGGCCACGUGCCCAAAAGAGGGGGAUCACACUUGGAAACAGGUGCUAAUACCGCAUAACCAUAGUUACCGCAUGGUAACUAUGUCAAAGGUGGCUGUAGUACCGCUUUUGGAUGGGCCCGCGGCGCAUUAGCUAGUUGGUAGGGUAAAGGCUUACCAAGGCAAUGAUGCGUAGCCGAAUUGAGAGGUUGAUCGGCCACAUUGGGACUGAGACACGGCCCAAACUCCUACGGGAGGCAGCAGUAGGGAAUCUUCCACAAUGGGCGAAAGCCUGAUGGAGCAACGCCGCGUGGGUGAAGAAGGUCUUCGGAUCGUAAAACCCUGUUGUUAGAGAAGAAAGUGCGUGAGAGUAACUGUUCACGUUUCGACGGUAUCUAACCAGAAAGCCACGGCUAACUACGUG